GGUGUCCACAGGUGUGUCGCCAUGGCUCCAAACCAAGGAGGGAGGAUAAGUGCUGAGCGAGCACCGACAACAGCUACUCUGUCUUUCUCAAACAUCUUCAAGGUCCCUGUGGAAGGGAUAAAUGGCCAAGAGGAGGUGCCUUCCCAGGAGACACUCAUCUGGAGCUUUACAGGGCUCCGGCGUGCACUGGCAGCGACAGGGCAGCAGGACUCUUUGCACUCGCUGUUCCUUUUUCCUAUGCAUAUACCUUUUUCAGAUGUAACUUUAAAGAGGCAUAGGGCAUGGGAAAAUGGGGCUGCAGAGGUAUUCCACCAGGCAGACAGCCGUUUCAUCAUCUUCUCUGCGGGACAGCUGACCUCAAAGCGCACACACAUACAUACACACAAACACACACACAUUUUGGGCUCCAGGCUUACUGUUUAGACGAAGACUGCGAAGCUUAUAUUGCCACACACCAGUGUGACCGCAAGUGAUUUUUGUGUCUCUGUGAUUUGCUUUUCUGUAAUAUCAUAACUCAAAUUUUGUCAUAUUCAUUUAUGAUGACAUUGUGUGUGUUGACUGAGGUGAUAUUGCAUUUUUGCUACACCAUUGUUCAUUUAAAACAUCUGUUUGCUUCUGAAUAAUCUGUUUGCUGUUGUUGUUUUUUUCAAUAAAGAACUCUUGGCAUUAAUA